AGCAGCCGCGGUAAUUCCAGCUCCAAUAGCGUAUAUUAAAGUUGUUGCAGUUAAAAAGCUCGUAGUUGAAUUUCGGGAUCAAUUUAUCGGUCGUGCCAAUGGUAUGAACUGGUACAAUUGGUUUCUCCCUUCUGACGAAGCACGAUGUCAUUAAUUUGGUGUCGUGGGGAAUCAGGACUGUUACUUUGAAAAAAUUAGAGUGUUUAAAGCAAGCAUUAGCUUGAAUACAUUAGCAUGGAAUAAUGAAAUAGGACGUUUGAUCCUAUUUCGUUGGUUUCUAGGAUCGACGUAAUGAUUAAUAGGGAUAGUUGGGGCAUUAGUAUUCAAUUGUCAGAGGUGAAAUUCUUGGAUUUAUUGAAGACUAACUACUGCGAAAGCAUUUGCCAAGGAUGUUUUCAUUAAUCAAGAACGAAAGUUAGGGGAUCGAAGACGAUCAGAUACCGUCGUAGUCUUAACCAUAAACUAUGCCGACUAGGGAUCGGAUGAUGUUAAUUUUUUAAUGACUCAUUC
rnacentral:rRNA from 1 species